rnacentral:misc_RNA from 1 species
AAACAUCUUUGAUUUCAUAAAAUCCUCCUUCUACCUUUGAGAUCCUCUAUCUGCGCAACUCCUCCGUUAAACGUUAAACCCAUAACCAAACCAACUAAGCUCCUUAUUUUUCUCUGAUGCCGGAAUCCACCCUCCUACGCCGUUUCCUCCUCUUUCAAUCGGCACUGUUAUUCUGCAACCGCUGCUCUACAAGGACAUCUAUCUCAGCCGGCCACAUACUUCGGUCUCUCUACACCACCACCACCCACUCCUCACUCAAAGACCAAAACUAUAAAGACAACGUUAAAAAGAAAGGCAAAUGGUUCACUUUGCCUCCGUAUACUUCUACAAUCAGUGGCUCCGUCUUGGGAAAAGCGCUAUCGGCAACCACUGCAGCGAAAGUGGCCACCGAAACGACGGCGCUUAAGUGGGUCCUUCAUUGCUGCCCGGAACUCCCCAGAAGCCUUGUACAGAAACUAUUUCGCUUAAGACAGGUUAGAAGAGAGUCCUCUAAUCCAGGAGAUCAAGCAGAGGAACAAAGACUUAAAAGGGUGGCAGCUAAGGACUUGCUGGAUGUAGGAGAUAGAAUCGUUCUUCCUAUUACGGUUCAAGCAUUGCCCUUUGAGUCUGAGAAACAACAGUAUUCUUACAAUGAAGAAGAAAUAAACUUUAUUCGUAGCCUCGAGUUGUACAAGGAUGACGCCAUUAUUGUUGUCAAUAAACCUCCUGGAAUGCCUGUUCAGGGUGGCAUUGGCAUCAAAAGAAGUUUAGAUGAGCUGGCUGCAAGUUGUUUAUGUUAUGACUAUCCUGAAUCCCCUAGGCUGGUUCAUAGACUUGACAGAGAUAGUAGUGGCAUCUUGGUGAUGGGAAGAACACCAACAAGCACAACAGUUCUGCAUUCUAUCUUCAGGGAGAAAACUUUUGCAGCAUCAAAUGAUGCGAGUAAUUGGGAUACUGGUGACAGAAGAAGAAUCCUGCAAAGAAAGUAUUGGGCACUUGUCAUUGGUUCUCCAAGACAUCAAAAGGGGUUAAUUUCGGCAUCACUGGGAAGGGUGGUGGUCGACAAUGGAAAAUCCGAUCGAAUAACGGUGGUUGAGAAUGCACAGAACACAUCUUCUCAGCAUGCAGUGACACAGUACAGAGUAAUUGAAUCAUCUCAUGCUGUCUGUUACAUCGGUACUGCUGUCAAUUUGGCCUCAGAACAAAUCAAAUGAAAUGAUGUGCAAAACCUUUUGAACUGUGUUGUUUGAAUGUUCAUAUAUACUGUAGUUUUUGCCUCGUAACCUUAUCUGUAGCUUAAUGCAGGCUACACAUGGUUAGAGCUGUCACCUCUCACUGGUAGAAAGCAUCAGGUAUGAAAAACAACUAAAAGAUUUCUGCAGUUCUUGUUUUAUUAUUAUCAUUGUUCUCACUGCCCAAAUCCUCAUUAAUUAACCAUGUCCGUACACAAGCUGCGUGUGCAUUGUGCCGAAGUAUUGGGGACACCAAUAAUUGGAGACUACAAAUAUGGGUGGCAAGCUCACAGGAAGUGGAAACAUUUGCCUUGGUCUGAUCUUGAAAAGAGCUCAGAUGAGAAAGUGGCCUGCACUAAAAUCUUUCCUUUCGGCAUUGAUUUGGAAAGUGGAAGCAUCUUUGAAAAGCAACCUCGUCUACAUCUUCACUGCAAGCAAAUGGUUUUACCCAAUGUUUCCCAGGCUUUGCAAGGUGUAAAAAUGUCAUCUGAGUAUGAUUUUUCAGAUCUGGAAAGCAUUGAAUUGGAUGCUGCCUUGCCUUCCUACAUGCAAAGAAGUUGGGAUGUUUUGAGCUCCUGCUCAAAAAACUAGUGUCUUUGAAGCUUUGAGAUUCAUAUCUUUCUCCGGUAAUAGAUUUUACAUGAAGAGAAGGCAACUUAAUGGGAUGUAUCCAAGCUCGUAAAUAAUUGUUCAACCACGCAUAUCAUUUAAAGGGUUUCCUAAUAUCCACAAGCAUUUUAAGGUCAGAUGCAAUAGUUGAAAGGAUAGUUACUGUUCAGACUCAUCUUCCAUGUUGCUGCUGAAAGAAAAUUUUGAUGGGACACAUGGAACAAGCAGGUUAGCAAGUAACUGACAUGUGAUGCUUAGAGAACUCACUGGUUUCUUGAAAAAAAAUGUAGACCUAAUGAAUUUACUGCUACAUCCAGGAAGUUCAUUCAUUUUUCAGAAAGAGACACAUCAUACAAUUUAACGCAUGGGAGAGAUUUAAACUAGCCCUGGAGAUCCCUUGGAGGUUUCUUUGAUAGAUGCAAUAGAGGCAUAUGAUGAGAUGCAAAAGAUUAACAGAGCAGCUACUGUGGUGGUUGUGUUUUAGUGGGCAUUCAAUCUUUAAUCAUCCUAUGCUGUGGAGUGUUGAGCUAGCAUUCCCAUUACUAAAAUGAAGGUUAGCUACUAACAGAACUGAAUUUCUAGGUCAGACCCUCAUUGAUGUACAGUACUUUUCUCCCCACGUUUAUUUGCUAUUGACAAACUUCCUCAUAAAAUUAGUAGGUGUGUAUUCAAGCAAGCUGCUUUUAUAUGAUUAAUUAGUUUUCAUGGUAUUUAUAUUUUUGUUAAAUUGCAUUACGCUAUAAAUAACAUCUAUUUUCUAGGGAGAGCUACUGGGAUAUACAUAAAGGCCUAUGUAUCGCCCAUUUAUGAUGAAUUUCAACAAUAGUAAGUGGAAUUCGAAUUCGAGAUGGAAUGCAUUGAGAGCUGAAUUUCAACAAUACUAAGUGGAAUUCGAAUUCG